UAGCGCAGCCUGGUUAGCGCGCAGCGUUCGGGACGCUGAGGUCGGUGGUUCGAAUCCACU
rnacentral:tRNA from 1 species